AAGAGACAAGACCUUUUCCGUCAUGCUCCUUCAAUGACCUGCCUGUGAUCUCAUGCUAAAAGGCUAUGGUUGUGCCAGCCAAGCAGGAAACAGCCACAGGAAGUGGCUAAAUCAUGAGAUCAGGAGACUGUGGCCUGGCACAGAGUUUGUGAACGAACGGUGGAACAUGUGCUCUUAUGACAAGGUGAUGACAAACCCCCUGGGCCACAAGAAGCACUAAUGCUGAAUGAGUUAUGAAUGGGAUUAAUGGAUUAUUUAUCUCUGAGAAAAAGGGGGAGAACGGGGUUGUUCUGGAUCAAGGUCAGAGAGUGUGGGUGUCUAUUAUGGUGACCACACCAGGCUGGUGAGGACUGCGGCGGGUACCACUGUGAGCUGUGCCUUCUUCAUCAGGCACCCCUGAUGGUAGGGUACCAGCAAGCUGGGUCACAACCUUGCCCACCAUGGAUUGAUGGGAGAUGGCCCCCUGGCCCCCAGACGGCCGCACUCAGAGCCACUCAGCACAGGGACCGUGUGUCAGAGCGGAGGAGAUGGUUAUAAAUCACAGCCCCGUCUGCAGACGGCCUGUCUGCGUAUCAAGGCUUUUUUAACCUUGUUUUCCUCCCUGCUAACCUUUGCUGUGCUCCUUUUGAUGUAUACCGCCAUUAAGGCUAAUGGCACUUCUCUCACGUAAGCCGUUAGCGCUCGUUAGGCGGUGAUCAGCCCGGCGGCCGGGGAAUACAGAUGUGGGCUUAAUAAAUCAAUUAAGCA
rnacentral:lncRNA from 1 species